UACGGGGGAUGCAAGCGUUAUCCGGAAUCAUUGGGCGUAAAGCGCCUGUAGGUUGUUUAAUAAGUCUGUUGUUAAAGACUAGGGCUUAACCCUAGGAAAGCAAUGGAAACUACUAGACUAGAGUAUGAUAGGGGUAGAGGGAAUUUCUAGUGUAGCGGUGAAAUGCGUAGAUAUUAGGAAGAACACCGGUGGCGAAGGCGCUCUACUGGAUCAUUACUGACACUCAGAGGCGAAAGCUAGGGUAGCAAAAGGGAUUAGAUACCCCUGUAGUCCUAGCCGUAAACGAUGGAUACUAGAUGUUGCAUAUUUUAUGCAGUAUCGCAGCUAACGCGUUAAGUAUCCCGCCUGGGGAGUACGCUCGCAAGGGUG
rnacentral:rRNA from 1 species